rnacentral:rRNA from 1 species
AUUGAACGCUGGCGGCAUGCUUUACACAUGCAAGUCGAACGGUAACAGGGUGCUUGCACCGCUGACGAGUGGCGAACGGGUGAGUAAUGCGUCGGAACGUGCCGAGUAGUGGGGGAUAACGCAGCGAAAGUUGUGCUAAUACCGCAUACGUACUGAGGUAGAAAGUGGGGGACCUUCGGGCCUCACGCUAUUCGAGCGGCCGACGUCUGAUUAGCUAGUAGGUGAGGUAAAGGCUCACCUAGGCGACGAUCAGUAGCGGGUCUGAGAGGAUGAUCCGCCACACUGGGACUGAGACACGGCCCAGACUCCUACGGGAGGCAGCAGUGGGGAAUUUUGGACAAUGGGCGAAAGCCUGAUCCAGCCAUGCCGCGUGUCUGAAGAAGGCCUUCGGGUUGUAAAGCACUUUAAGCGAGGAGGAGGCUACUGAGACUAAUACUCUUGGAUAGUGGACGUUACUCGCAGAAUAAGCACCGGCUAACUCUGUGCCAGCCGCCGCCGUAA